rnacentral:rRNA from 1 species
UACGAAGGGUGCAAGCGUUACUCGGAAUUACUGGGCGUAAAGCGUGCGUAGGUGGUUUGUUAAGUCUGUUGUGAAAGCCCCGGGCUCAACCUGGGAAUGGCAAUGGAUACUGGCAGGCUAGAGUGCGGUAGAGGGUAGUGGAAUUCCCGGUGUAGCGGUGAAAUGCGUAGAGAUCGGGAGGAACACCAGUGGCGAAGGCGGCUACCUGGACCAGCACUGACACUGAGGCACGAAAGCGUGGGGAGCGAACAGGG